UACAGAGGGUGCAAGCGUUGUUCGGAAUUAUUGGGCGUAAAGGGCGCGUAGGCGGUGCGGUAAGUCCGCAGUGAAAUCUCUGGGCUCAACUCAGAGUCUGCUGUGGAAACUGCCGUGCUAGAGUGUGGGAGAGGUGAGUGGAAUUCCCGGUGUAGCGGUGAAAUGCGUAGAUAUAGGAAGGAACACCAGUGGCGAAGGCGACCACCUGGGACUGAUACUGACACUGAGGUGCGAAAGCGUGGGGAGCAAACAGG
rnacentral:rRNA from 1 species